rnacentral:rRNA from 1 species
UACGUAGGGUGCAAGCGUUGUCCGGAAUUAUUGGGCGUAAAGAGCUCGUAGGCGGUCCGUCACGUCGGCUGUGAAAACCUGGGGCUCAACCCCGGGCCUGCAGCCGAUACGGGCGGACUAGAAUUCGGUAGGGGAGACUGGAAUUCCUGGUGUAGAGGUGAAAUUCGUAGAUAUCAGGAGGAACACCAGUGGCGAAGGCGGCUUUCUGGACGGUAACUAACGCUGAGACGCGAAAGCGUGGGGAGCAAACAGG